UACGUAGGGUGCAAGCGUUUGUCCGGAAUUAUUGGGCGUAAAGAGCUCGUAGGCGGUCUGUCGCGUCGGCUGUGAAAACCCGGGGCUCAACCCCGGGCCUGCAGUCGAUACGGGCAGACUAGAGUGCGGUAGGGGAGACUGGAAUUCCUGGUGUAGCGGUGAAAUGCGCAGAUAUCAGGAGGAACACCGAUGGCGAAGGCAGGUCUCUGGGCCACUACUGACGCUGAGAAGCGAAAGCAUGGGGAGCGAACAGG
rnacentral:rRNA from 1 species